rnacentral:rRNA from 1 species
AUGAAGGGUAAAGGAGGUGGGAGAUCCAUAUCGCUAGCUUCAUCCAAUGUCAAAUCCAUGUACCAGGCAAGCGGCCAAGAAUGCCUUCUCCCUGCCCGGCUAGAAGUUGGAUCCUUCCAAGAGGGAACCUCUCAGGAUUUUCUACGAGUCACUGUCCAAAAAGUACAUAUAUGUUUUCAUUCAUCUGAUUUUUUUUUUAAAUUUGACAGAGGGAACCUCUCAGAAUUUUCUACGAGUCACUGCCCAAAAAGAUCCAAUCCAGUGAGAUGGCCGACUUCAGGGGGGUGGGAAGCAAUAUUGGAGGCGGUCUGA